GACGAACGCUGGCGGCGUGCUUAACACAUGCAAGUCGAACGGAAAGGCCCUGCUUUUGUUGGGUGCUCGAUUGGCGAACGGGUGAGUAACACAUGAGUAACCUCCCCCUGACUUUGGGAUAACUUCAGGAAACUGGGGCUAAUACCGGAUAUGAGCUCCUGCUCCAUGGUGUGGGUUGGUAAGAUUCGGCGGUUGGGGAUCUACUCGCGGCUUAUCAGCUUGUUGGUGGGGUAGUGGCUUACCAAGGCUUUGACGGGUAGCCGUCCUGAGAGGGUGACCGGCCACAUGGGGACUGAGAUACGGCCCAGACUGCUACGGGAGGCAGUAGUGGGGAAUAUUGCACAAUGGGCGGAAGCCUGAUGCAGCAGCGCCGCGUGCGGGAUGACGGGCUUCGGGUUGUAAACCGCUUUCGCCUGUGACGAAGCGUGAGUGACGGUAAUGGGUAAAGAAGCACCGGCUAACUACGUG
rnacentral:rRNA from 1 species